CUUUUCUGAAAUAAUUAUUGUUAAAGCUAAAGUGAUUGUAUGUCGAGAAUCAGAUCUAAAUUUGCAUCCUUUAUUUAUUCUAUCCAGAAUGAACUUUGAAUGACGGUCUUUUCUUAUGGAGACUGCAGAUUUUUAAUAAGUCAAAAUACAGCAUGAAGAUUGAUGCCCGGGUUGGUUGGCAAAUGAUUCACCUAAAUUAAUAAUGGAGCAGCGAAACCCUAAUAAUCAUCUCUCCAACUCUAACGCAUGGGGUUCACGAGAUGAAGAACUCAAAGUUCACGAGCUUGCUUGUAUCCACUAAAAGACGGCUACAAGAAGCUGGUAGAUAACUACGACAGAGAUUGAACAAAGAAUAUGCCUAACUACCUGCUGCAACAUAGCACAUGAACUAGAAAGAGAUGCUUGGAAGAUGGACAAAGGCAAAUCUUUAAAGAAGAAAGAGACUUGAGGGAAGAGGUCAAAGACUCUCAGAUAAACAUUAUAUUAAUUUGUUUGGUGGGUGAUGCUGGCUGUGAAUGCCAUCUCUGUAAAUGUGGUGGAGACAAAUUUUCUCAAGGAGAGCCACGUACCUCACAUCUAAUAUUCUACAGAUUCUCAGUAAACAAACAGAACAACUCCGAUGUAAAAUAUUCUCAUCUCAACUGGUUUUCAAUCAUUUUCACUCAGAGAUGAUUAUAUUGACUUCAUUUGUUCUUGUUUGUUUUCAAACCAUUAUUUCAUUCAAAAUAAUAAUAACAAUAAUCAACCAUUUCAUUGGAUCCUGGGGUGGCCACAUCAAAUCCAUUUUAUCUGAUCAUAAUCUUGUAUUUCUGAAAAUCUCAGAUACAAAUUGUACGGUUGCUUGUACUUGUUUUAUUAGUCUAAUAAAAUAACUUUAGAUGAUCGAAAACUGUGGGCGUAUAGUGGUUUUUCAGCAGUUUCUGUCUGACAACAUA